AGUGACAUCACAUAUACGGCGG
rnacentral:miRNA from 1 species